GAUCUAGAGGUCUCCAAUCAGGAGUUAAGCUACAUAGUGAAAAAGGCUGAACAAUGGAGAGGAAUCAAUGGUGAAAGAAGAAAGGUUUUUGGUGAUAUUAAUGGAAUGAAUCUUCUGUAUAGUGACGUGAGCCCAGUCAUAGAGGACCACUUAAGAGAAAUGGACAUUGUUCAGGGAAGUUCCACUGAGGUCGAACUGCGGGAAAGGAAAAAGAAUGGAGGAAAGCUCUAGAGAGAAAAAAAAAUGAACAAAACAAAGAUCAACUUAGUGACAUCAGGAGAAGAGGAAACACAUUUAUUUUAAGGAAAUCAUCCCAACGAAAGCAAAGCAAAUUAACUUGACUAAA